GGGGGGUUGCCUGGCCCAGGGCAGGGGUUUCGGCGGCGGGAGCGUGGCAGACUUCCUGGGCGGGGCUGCUGGGCAGCAGUGGACAGUGGACUCCGACCUGGGGCCUGACCGUCCUGCCCUGCGCCUCCUCUGGCCCUGGCCCUGUCGCCGCCGUUGCCAUGCUGACCCCCAGGAUCGCAGCCCUCUUAACUCUGCUCCUGGCCAGCAGCUCUCUGGGUCAGCGGGCGCGGAGACCCCCGCGGCCCCCAUCCCCCAUCAGCACCAUCCAGCCCAAGGCCAGCUUUGACGCCCAGCAGGUAGACCUGGGCGGAGGUGGGGCAGGGGCUUGCCCGGCUCUGUCGCCCCCAGCCCUGCGGGCCCUCACGCGGCCUGCACCCCAGUUCGCAGGGACCUGGCUCCUGGUGGCCGUGGCCUCCCCGUGUCGCUACCUGCAGGAGCAGGGCCAUCGGGCCGAGGCCACCACUCUGCACGUGGCUCCUCGGGGCUCGGCCAUGGCCGUCAGCACCUUCCGGAAGCUGGAUGGAAUCUGCUGGGCAGUGCGGCAGCUGUACGGAGACGCGGGGCGUCCGGGGCGCUUCCUGCUCCAAGCCCGGGGCGCCCGCGGGCCGGUGGACGUGGUCGUCGGGGACACAGACUACCGCGGCUUCGCCGUCUUGUACCUGGAGCGGGCGCGGCAGCUGUCGGUGAAGCUGUACGGUACGUCCGGGGGGCCUGGGUCCCCGGGGGCUGUCGGAUGGGCUGGGCGGGCCCUCUCCUCCCUUCCCCCUGCCCCUGCCCUUCUGCCCAAAUGUGGGGGCAGAACCGGAGCGGGAACGGGGGGAGCAAGGGUCAGAUCGCAGCCCCAGGCACACAGCCCAGCCCCCAGAGCGCCCUGCAGGCCCCCGCCCCGUGGGUGCCCAGGAGCCCGUGUGUCCCGCACGCAGUCCGCUCUCUCCCCGUGAGCGAUUCCUUCCUGAGUGUGUUUGAGCAGCGGGUCCAGGGGGCCAACCUGACCGAGGACCACAUCCUGUUCUUCCCCAAGUACGGCUUCUGCGAGGUGGCGGACCAGUUCCACACCCUGGAUGGUGAGCGGGCAGCUCCAGCAGGCGGCGUGGGGGGCGGUGCCAAGGGCUCCCUCCUGGCUGAGAC